CCCUUAGAUGUUCUGGGCCGCACGCGCGCUACACUGAUGCAUUCAACGAGUCUAAAACCUGGUCUGAUAGGGCUGGGUAAUCUUUUGAAUGUGCAUCGUGAUUGGGAUAGAUGAUUGCAAUUCUUCAUCUUCAACGAGGAAUGCCUAGUAAACGCAAGUCAUCAGCUUGCAUUGAUUACGUCCCUGCCCUUUGUACACACCGCCCGUCGCUCCUACCGAUUGGGUGAUCCGGUGAAUGAUUCGGACUGACGUUGUACUAGCUACUAGUUCAAUGUUAGGAAGUUUUGUGAACCUAAUCACUUGGAGGAAGGAGAAGUCGUAACA
rnacentral:rRNA from 1 species